UUAAUUGUGAUUGGUGCUUUUACCCUUAAGAUCAGUUUAUGGGGUAACCAAUAAGUAAUAAAAAGUCAUUCUUCACAAAUAUAAUCGAGCGUUGUUGCUAUACUUUAUAAUUUCAAGUCAAAAUCAGAGUGGAUAAUGACUCCAUGUGAAGCUUUUUACUAGUUUUUAUGAAAUACGACAUUUUGUUUCGCGUAGUGUGUCUAUAUAGCAAGUAAGAACAUGAAGAAGCUGAUUCUUUAUCUCGUAGGAGUGGGCCAGCAGCCCCUCACACAUGGACACAUUCUUGCCAAGUACCUCAAUUAUUCCAUAACAUCAUCUCCGGUCAGAACUUGCUAAUUAUAAGCUUUUCGAAGCAUAUGUAUCUGAAAACACACACAAUUCCCAUACUGCGGUAAAUGCGGCUUAUAGCAAAGUAUGCAAUCUGCUUGAUUGCUUAGCACGGCCCCCUUCAUAAAAUAUAAUUGUACAAUUCGUCCUACAUUUAUCCUCAUCUGGACUUGCAUAUAAUACAGUAAGAUCAUAUUUGUCUGCAAUUUCAUUUCAAUGUUAUUUUCAAAGCAUACAAGUUCCAGACCCAACCUCAAAGUUCCUUGUUUUAAAGUUACUCAUAGGAAAGAAACGUUUAAAACACAAGACAGACACUAGAUUACGAAUAACAAAAUCAGUUUUACAACAUAUCAUCCAGGUAUUACCCAUCAUAUGACUUUAUGUAUCAAUGCAUUCGAAACAGCGCAUUUUCUGUAGCAUUUCUAUGGAUUUUCAUGGAUUUUUCUAAGUAGGGGAAUUAAUUCAAUGAAUAAAUACAAGUAAGGCUCUUCAACAAACCUUACUUCAUAUAGACGAUUUGGCAUUUAUUUGACCAUGACGAUUUAAGCAAUCUCUGUUUCUGACUAUUCAGUAUAAGAUAGACCAGUUGGGUAAUGGAGCUGUUGACGGACAGGGCAGUGAAGCAUAAUCAUAUCGGUUUGUUUUUUACUACAUUAGCGUCCGUCCAUGGGUAUUAGAAUCAAAUUGUCCCAAAUUUCAAAAUAUCAUUAUUCAGGGGUUCUCUAAAAGUCAAUUAAACACCUUUAAUAGCCUAAAUAACUCAGGAUAUAAAUAUCACUCUUACCGUACAUAAGCAUGCACUGACCUUACUGUAAGAGGGUUUUUACCAAUGAAAUCUAGAAAUCAGGGCGCUGGAAGUCGUCCUCAUAUAAAUCUUUAUUUGCAAAGCAACGUUUUAACUGAUUUCAUUUUAGAAUCGCAAACAAUAUGGUUGGUAGGUUCUUCACUAAUUAAACAUGCAUUAUUGGAGGCUAUUAUAAGACGGGGAAGCAUAAAUCUCACAUUAGACAGGCAUGCCAUCUCACUUUUGUAGCAAGGGUAUAGUGGGCUCCAGUUAAAGCUGCUUGGUCCGAUUUUCUGUCCCAAAAAAUACACAGAUUUCUUUUUAGCAAUACAAAAUUCCAUAAAAUAUAUGAACUUUCACCAAAUAAGACCCUUCGAUUCAAUCUCUGUUUAAAGUUAAAAGUAUUUAAAGUAUAUAAAUAUAAUUUAUUUUUGGGCAAACGGAAAAACAAAGAGGCGGUCUUAGCGCAUGCGCAAUGUAUAUGUACACAAAGAUGCGGAAAAUAUGGAUGUCCCAAAAAAGAGAGGACGUCCUCAAAUCUUAACAGAUUCAACUCGUAAGAAGAAAAGGCUCCAAGCUAACCAGACUCACGCGAAAAGUAGGAUUUUUAUUGGUGAAUAUAUUGAAGACUGGAACAGUUUGCGUGACUCGCUUGGAUUGAAAUCAAACCCCGAACUUGCGGGAUUUCUCCUCAACUCUCACUAUGAGUCCCAGAAACGCCUUUCAAGGCAAGGAAUACUUUCUUCAACUCCUGCUAGGCCUCAUCCUCUGCCAAGGAUAUCAGAGUUGAUACUAUCAGAAAUUUCGUCAACAGAUUCUAAAGGAAAUGGUAGUACUACAGAAACAGCAGAGUCAGGAGUUGAAGAAAUGGAGAAAUCAAGUUUUUUGAGCCCAGCUACUGCAUCUCAUCAGUCACCCAUAUCCAAAGGGGAAGAAACAAAGAGAAAAAGUUCAUUGGAAACAGCUUUCUCAUCUUCAUUUGUAGACCCUUUUAGUUUGAGUAUUAGCAUUACGAAAGAAUCUGAAGAAGAAAAAGGAAGUGUUGAUGAUGAUAGUGAUGAUGAUUUUGAUGUAGAAGAAUAUGAAGUGACUUUAGGUGAAGAUGAAACUAUUGACAUCGAAGAUGUAGCUGGAGGUGACUUGGUCUUUGGAAGUGAUGAAGUUAUAGAGACGGUGGAUGAACCACCAGAAUACUUCACUGGCCCAGGUAUCACCCAGGUGUUGUCGAUGGAGGAAUCAGAUGUUGUACUUGCAUCAGAAAAAGUGAUCGCAUAUGAGAAACAGUUGCUGCUUUUAGCAAAAACAAAGAUUGAUGAGCGCUGCUUGGUUAAAGGGUGUCCAGAGCUUGUAGAGAUUUCAACAAAAUAUGUUGCAUCUGCAUUAUACAUUAUCUGGUAUAACUACGGGGAAAAAGAUACUCGAAAGGAUGGCACAACAAGAUAUCAUAGGACUUAUUCCAAGAAGACUGGGAGGUGGACUGUAGUCCAGAGGAAAACUCAGAAGACCUACAGCCAUGUCUCGGAUAUCAUGAGGAAGAUUCUCCAAAGUCGCUUGGAGUCGGUGGGAGGCAUGCACCAGGCAGCUGAACUUGCAGAAGGAGACCCUCGACGCAUUUCCAGAACCAUAGCCCCAAAGUCACCACCUCCAACAACCGAGCUUGUGGUCAAGAAGAAAUCAAGAUUUCAAUAAAUAGACUUUAAAUUUCUUAUGACAGGCUCAAGUGAGCUGUUCUGUUCAAAAUUUGUCUCCCGUUUAUGGUCAUAAUAGUAACAAAUUCUUCAAAAAUAGUUAGAAAUAUUCAAAGCACACAUAUUUUAAAGCCAGAUGAAGGUGAGAAUCAAAAUCGGCAUAUUAAAGUAACAGACAGGUCUGCUGUUAUUGAUUACGAGUGAAACGCCCCAAAAUUAAUGACAUCAGUAUAUUUCUCUUUAUAUUUUUGGGGAAUUAUUGAAAUUGUUAGUUGUAUUUUUUUUUAAUGUUUAAUGUUUCAUUUUGUUAGGUGCACAAAUAAAAUAAUUAACCUGAAAUAAACUAAAAUGACUAUUUAGAUAGCUAAAUGUUAAUGAUGGCUUUUAAUCAGUAGAAAGAAAUAGAUUGACAAUGUGUACCGAGAUUCCAUUGUUUGUGUUCAACUAGAUAUAUACUGGUACAUGUAAUUAUAUAGCCAUUCUUGUACCAAACGCUGCUUAGAGUUAAUGCCAAUAUGAGCAAUGUAGCCCCUUGGCCUUGUUUUAUGAUGUUUCAAAGUGUAUGCUUUUUAUUGAAUGUCGGUUAUGUUUUGCAAUUAUUGCACAUCAUUUACACUUCUUUUCUUAUAAUUCAGGUUUUGCUUGGUUUACCUAUUUCUGUUUGCUUUAUUAAAAAUGCACUUGCUUUGUAUUGCAGUAAAUAUGGACCAAAUUCAUUGUAAAGGUGUGACAAUUUGUAACAUCUCAAAAAGCUACUGUGUAGCAAAUAACUUUUGUUUUUUUCAUUUGUAUGUUCAAUACAUGUGCAAUCUAAGAAAAAGAAUAUUGAGAAUCAUGGAAUAA
rnacentral:sRNA from 1 species